rnacentral:rRNA from 1 species
CGGAGGAUCCAAGCGUUAUCCGGAAUCAUUGGGUUUAAAGGGUCCGUAGGCGGUUUUAUAAGUCAGUGGUGAAAUCUGGUCGCUCAACGAUCAAACGGCCAUUGAUACUGUAAGACUUGAAUUACUUGGAAGUAACUAGAAUAUGUAGUGUAGCGGUGAAAUGCUUAGAGAUUACAUGGAAUACCAAUUGCGAAGACAGGUUACUACUAAUGGAUUGACGCUGAUGGACGAAAGCGUGGGUAGCGAACAGGAUUAGAUACCCUGGUAGUCCACGCCGUAAACGAUGGAUACUAGCUGUUCGGAGCAAUCUGAGUGGCUAAGCGAAAGUGAUAAGUAUCCCACCUGGGGAGUACGUUCGCAAGAAUG